rnacentral:tRNA from 1 species
CGCGAAGUGAUUUAAUGGUAGAAUGUUUGUCUUAAGCACAAAAGUUGCAGGUUCGAUCCCUGCCUUUGCAU